rnacentral:rRNA from 1 species
GGUGAACGCUGGCGGCGUGCCUAAUACAUGCAAGUAGAACGCUGAAGGAAGGAGCUUGCUCUUUCCGGAUGAGUUGCGAACGGGUGAGUAACGCGUAGGUAACCUGCCUGGUAGCGGGGGAUAACUAUUGGAAACGAUAGCUAAUACCGCAUAACAGUAGAUGUUGCAUGACAACUAUUUGAAAGGGGCAAUUGCUCCACUACCAGAUGGACCUGCGUUGUAUUAGCUAGUUGGUGAGGUAACGGCUCACCAAGGCGACGAUACAUAGCCGACCUGAGAGGGUGAUCGGCCACACUGGGACUGAGACACGGCCCAGACUCCUACGGGAGGCAGCAGUAGGGAAUCUUCGGCAAUGGACGGAAGUCUGACCGAGCAACGCCGCGUGAGUGAAGAAGGUUUUCGGAUCGUAAAGCUCUGUUGUAAGAGAAGAACGAGUGUGAGAGUGGAAAGUUCACACUGUGACGGUAUCUUACCAGAAAGGGACGGCUAACUACGUG